rnacentral:rRNA from 1 species
CGGGUGAGUAACACGUGAGUAACCUCGCCCCCUUCCUUCUGGAUAACCGCAUGAAAGUGUGGCUAAUACGGGAUAUUCUGCGCCUGCUGCAUGGUGGGUGUGGGAAAGAUAUUGUUUCGGUGGGGGAUGGGCUCGCGGCCUAUCAGCUUGUUGGUGGGGUGAUGGCCUACCAAGGCGGUGACGGGUAGCCGGCCUGAGAGGGUGGACGGUCACACUGGGACUGAGACACGGCCCAG